AGCAGCCGCGGUAAUUCCAGCUCCAAUAGCGUAUAUUAAAGUUGUUGCAGUUAAAAAGCUCGUAGUUGAAUUUCGAGACCGGUUUACUGGUCGUGCUUUUGUACGUACUGGUAUUAUUGGUUUCUCCUUUCUGACGAAUCUUAAUGCCAUUAAUUUGGUGUUUUGGGGAAUCAGGACUGUUACUUUGAAAAAAUUAGAGUGUUUAAAGCAGGCUCACGCUUGAAUACAUUAGCAUGGAAUAACGGAAUAGGACGUUUGAUUCUAUUUUGUUGGUUUCUAGGAUCGACGUAAUGAUUAAUAGGGAUAGUUGGGGGCAUUAGUAUUCAAUUGUCAGAGGUGAAAUUCUUGGAUUUAUUGAAGACUAACUACUGCGAAAGCAUUUGCCAAGGAUGUUUUCAUUAAUCAAGAACGAAAGUUAGGGGAUCGAAGACGAUCAGAUACCGUCGUAGUCUUAACCAUAAACUAUGCCGACUAGGGAUCGGAUGGUGUUAAUUUUUAAUGUACUCAUUCGGCGCCUUAC
rnacentral:rRNA from 1 species